GACAGAGGGUGCAAACGUUGUUCGGAAUUACUGGGCGUAAAGCGUGCGCAGGCGGUGAGCUGUGUCCGAUGUGAAAGCCCCGGGCUUAACCUGGGAAUGGCAUUGGAAACUGGCUCGCUGGAGUGUGGCAGAGGGGGGUGGAAUUCCGCGUGUAGCAGUGAAAUGCGUAGAGAUGCGGAGGAACACCGAUGGCGAAGGCAGCCCCCUGGGCUGAACACUGACGCCUCAGGCACGAAAGCGUGGGGAGCAAACAGG
rnacentral:rRNA from 1 species